AUUGAACGCUGGCGGCAUGCUUUACACAUGCAAGUCGAACGGUAACAGGGUGCUUGCACCGCUGACGAGUGGCGAACGGGUGAGUAAUGCGUCGGAACGUGCCGAGUAGUGGGGGGUAACGCAGCGAAAGUUGUGCUAAUACCGCAUACGUACUGAGGUAGAAAGUGGGGGACCUUCGGGCCUCACGCUAUUCGAGCGGCCGACGUCUGAUUAGCUAGUAGGUGAGGUAAAGGCUCACCUAGGCGACGAUCAGUAGCGGGUCUGAGAGGAUGAUCCGCCACACUGGGACUGGGACACGGCCCAGACUCCUACGGGAGGCAGCAGUGGGGAAUUUUGGACAAUGGGCGAAAGCCUGAUCCAGCCAUGCCGCGUGUCUGAAGAAGGCCUUCGGGUUGUAAAGGACUUUUGUCGGGGAGGAAAUCCCCAGCGUUAAUACCGCUGGGGGAUGACAGUACCUGAAGAAUAAGCACCGGCUAACUACGUGCCAGCCGCCGCCGUAACAC
rnacentral:rRNA from 1 species